UACGGAGGAUGCGAGCGUUAUCCGGAUUUAUUGGGUUUAAAGGGUGCGCAGGCGGCGUGUCAAGUCAGCGGUAAAAUGUCGGGGCUCAACCCCGGCCGGCCGUUGAAACUGGCGUGCUCGAGUUGGAGAGAAGUAUGCGGAAUUCGUGGUGUAGCGGUGAAAUGCAUAGAUAUCACGAAGAACCCCGAUUGCGAGGGCAGCAUACCGGCUCCACACUGACGCUGAGGCACGAAAGCGUGGGUAUCGAACAGG
rnacentral:rRNA from 1 species